rnacentral:antisense_RNA from 3 species
AGUAUUCGGUAUCUGCGCUCCACCAAGCCAGUUACCACAGUCGAUUAGAAGAGGUCGAAGACUUCUAAUCGGACGGAAAAAGCCGCCGCAAGGCGGCUUUUUCCGU